UAAACUCAUGGCCCAAUAAGAUAAAAACCAGAUAUUUAGAACCAAAGUCUCUUCCGUUUAUUAUCAUCCUCUUCAAUGGUUGAUUUAGGGUUUGACUUGCUUCAGUCUCUUCUGAGAAAUAUAACGCCGUCACAGAUUUUAACAACUUCUCUAAGAUGUAUGCCUCUGAUGCUCCAGUUUCUCAAACCGCCGUUAGCCACACAACGUUUGACGCCCGCCUCCUUAGCUUCUGGGAUUUAUGAGAAUCACUAUCCUCUUCCUAGAUGAAAAGAACUGUGAUCGUCUACUAAUCUUUGUGGGACGAGGCUGCCUCAAAGACUUCACCACCAAUUUGGGAGGUACAUGAGGUUUUCCCAUGUGUUGAUAUGGAAGGGAUUAAGAAAAAGGAAUUUGUGUCAAUUGGAGAUCUAAACAUGUUUCUCUAACUCCAACGAGUAGGAAGUUGCUGUCCCGCCGUUUCAAGAGGUUAUGAUAGGUUACUCAGAUUCAGGGAAAGACGCUGGGAGUCUCUCAGCUGCUUGGGAGCUGUACAAAGCUCAAGAAGAGCUUGUGAAGGUCGCUAAGCAAUAUGGAGUGAAGCCAACUAUGUUUCAUGGCCGUGGUGGCAUAGUUAGAAGAGGAGGUGGUCCCACUCAUCAUGCUAUAUUGUCUCAGCCACCGGACACAGUUAAUGGCUCACUCCUGAGUGACAGUUGAUCGUGAAGUCAUUGAGCAGUCAUUGUAUGACAAACUUCUUGUCUCGAAAGAUUUAUGGGCCUUUGGAGAGAAACUCAGAACCAACUUUGAAGAAACCAAGAGCCUCGUGCUCCAGACUCUUGGACACAAAGAUCUUCUUGAAGGGUAUUGCCGCAGGAUUGCAAAACACCGGUUAAAUGAGUGGGUCUCUGAGAGAAAGCAGACUUGAGUCUCUUUUCUGUCUUCCCU